AUUGGACGCUGGCGGCAGGCCUAACACAUGCAAGUCGUGCGGAUGAAGGGAGCUUGCUCCUGGAUUCAGCGGCGGACGGGUGAGUAAUGCCUAGGAAUCUGCCUGGUAGUGGGGGAUAACGUCCGGAAACGGGCGCUAAUACCGCAUACGUCCUGAGGGAGAAAGUGGGGGAUCUUCGGACCUCACGCUAUCAGAUGAGCCUAGGUCGGAUUAGCUAGUUGGUGGGGUAAAGGCCUACCAAGGCGACGAUCCGUAACUGGUCUGAGAGGAUGAUCAGUCACACUGGAACUGAGACACGGUCCAGACUCCUACGGGAGGCAGCAGUGGGGAAUAUUGGACAAUGGGCGAAAGCCUGAUCCAGCCAUGCCGCGUGUGUGAAGAAGGUCUUCGGAUUGUAAAGCACUUUAAGUUGGGAGGAAGGGCAGUAAGUUAAUACCUUGCUGUUUUGACGUUACCAACAGAAUAAGCACCGGCUAACUUCGUG
rnacentral:rRNA from 1 species